rnacentral:rRNA from 1 species
UACAGAGGUGGCAAGCGUUGUUCGGAAUUAUUGGGCGUAAAGCGCGCGCAGGCGGUUCCUUAAGUCUGAUGUGAAAGCCCCCGGCUCAACCGGGGAGGGUCAUUGGAAACUGGGGAACUUGAGUACUGAAGAGGAAAGCGGAAUUCCACGUGUAGCGGUGAAAUGCGUAGAGAUGUGGAGGAACACCAGUGGCGAAGGCGGCUUUCUGGUCAGUAACUGACGCUGAGGCGCGAAAGCGUGGGGAGCAAACAGG